GACGAACGCUGGCGGCGUGCUUAACACAUGCAAGUCGAACGGAAAGGCCCUGCUUUUGUGGGGUGCUCGAGUGGCGAACGGGUGCGUAACACGUGAGUAACCUGCCCUUGACUUUGGGAUAACUUCAGGAAACUGGGGCUAAUACCGGAUCGGAGCUCCUCCUCCAUGGUGAGGGUUGGAAAUUUUCGGCGGUUGGGGAUGGACUCGCGGCUUAUCAGCUUGUUGGUUGGGUAGUGGCUUGCCCAGGCAUUGACGGGUAGCCGGCCUGAGAGGGUGACCGGCCACCUUGGGACUGAGAGACGGAGCAGACUCGUACGGGAGGCAGCAGUGGGGAACCUUGCACAAUGGGAGGAAGCCUGAUGCAGAAACGCCGCGUGCGGGAUGACGGCCUUCGGGUUGUAAACCGCUUUCGCCUGUGACGAAGCGUGAGUGACGGUAAUGGAUAAAGAAGCACCGGCUAACUACGUG
rnacentral:rRNA from 1 species